rnacentral:tRNA from 1 species
GGGCCCAUGGUCUAGCGGCUAUGACAGUGCCCUUACAAUGCGAAAGCAUAAGUGAGGCAUUGAUCGCCGGUUCGAGUCCGGCUGGGCCCA